rnacentral:sRNA from 1 species
UUGACAUCUUUGGAGAGAGAGACAUAUUUCAUCCACAGAACAGGUGUAGCACAGGCAGUGGUAGUGCAAGAUUCUCCCCACAUUACCCCAUGUGUCUCCUUCCUGACCACCUCCAUGGUUCAGUUUCUGUCUCCCCCCACCUCCCCUCUCCCUCCCCC